rnacentral:tRNA from 1 species
GGCAUGGUGGUUGAGUGGUAAAGCGCUUGGCUUCCAAACCGGCAUCCCAGGUUCAAAUCCUGGUGAAGACU